rnacentral:rRNA from 1 species
AUGGACCAGGUCUUCGGCGCCGAGUACGUCUUCCUCCAUGUCCGUCGCUCCAACCGCGCCGGCUUGAACCUCUACACCUCCACCCUCGGCUACCAGAUCCAUGACAUCGAGGCCAAGUACUAUGCUGACGGCGAGGACGCCUACGACAUGCGCAAGAUGCUGCGUCAGCCCGUGCCCAAGAAGCACCACCGCAACCACGCCGGCCGCGGCUGCUGCUCCCACGAAUCCCCUACUGCCGCAGCUGCCGGCUCGUCCCCGACUUCCCCUUCGCCGGAGAAGAAGGCCGACGAACGCGAAGUCUCCAAUCACCGCUGCCAGAUCUGGCGAGCAACCGAGCCACCACUGCAAACCGACCAUGUAGCCCCCGUCGGCCACCCACCCACCAGAGAGGGGCUCCGCCACCACGGCAUGGGGACGCUGCUCCCCGCCACCGCGCGCUGGGCCCUCCGCCGCAGGCCCGACCGAGGCAAGUGGGCCGCGGCUGGACGAGGCGCUUACCCUCCUUGCAGUCAACGCGAGCCGCGAGCAGAGGAAGCAGCGAGGAUGAGCAGUGCGGGGUCGGCCGGACUUGGAAGGGAAGCAUGCCUGGCGCAGGUGGCGAGGCUGUGGACGUCCAAAUCGGGACGGAUCCGAGGCUGUUGGUCGGGGGCGAGGCUGCUGGACGUCCGGAGCAUGGGCGGCGGCUGA